UGAGACGCCGCCUCCUUUUGUUUUAUUUUGGUUGGACUUCCUGUUUUUCUUCGUUUUCCUGGUUUGGCUUGACUCUUUUCCAGAGCUCCCUCCCCUCCCCAGUCGCUGAGUCUGAGUGAGACUCCACACCUGCUCUACAUCUGCAAUCAAGGUCCUUUAAGAAGCCAGCAGCCCUCAGUCUCAGUGCCUGAGUAUUGUCUUCACUCACAUGUGGUACAGACGCGUCUCCUGGCCUCCCUUUCGAAUAAGUACUUGUAACUUUGCUCCUUGUGAUUCAUUGUAUGUCUACUCACUUCCCUCUCCUCUGUUUUCCCCGCAGUGUCUCCAGCCCACACAACAGCCAGCCAGUCAACCGGACUUCCUCUUUUGCCUUAACCCUGACUUUGGACAUUAAAAUUACAUCUUAAGUUGAUAUCUGCCUCUG